rnacentral:lncRNA from 1 species
CACGAGCAGGGGGAGGGGCAGAGAGGGAGGGGCAGAGGGAAAGGAAGAAGCAGUCUUCCUGUUGAGCAGAGAGCCUGACGCUGGGUUCAAUCCCAGGACCCUGGGAUCAUGACCUGAGCUGAAGGCAGACGCCUAACUGACUGAGCCACCCAGGCACCCAUGCUGGGGACAUUUCUAUCUGAUUCAAAGGUCCAAGUGCUUUGCACCCACUCCUAUACGUCUAUGCAUACACAUGCCUCCGUCCUGGGUAACACUGUCUCCCCACUUGCUGCUGCUCCUUCCAGUCCCCUGAUCGCUUAGGCGAGGCAGUAGCUACUCUUCGGGAGUCUGUGUGUAUCUUCACACCUAGUCGGAUCUCUUUCUACAAAAAAUGUAUUAUCCUGUUCAUUACCAAAACACCUGCUCACUGCUAUUUUCCAGAGUCCUGUUGGUAUGGUGGGGGGGGCAACACUACUCCAAAACAUCACCCUGCCCAGGCAGGACCCAGGCUGCGAAGCUGUUGACCACCAAGGAGAGGCAUCAUUGUGACAGGGUGAUGUGAUGACAUGAGCCCAAAGCCCAUUGAGGCUCAGCAGAGGGUCACACAGCAUCCCAACACACACGCCUCCUGCUAGCAGCAUGAUCUGGUAGGUCACGGCCAUGGCCAUAGGGUCCUGAUGGACAGAAAAAAGUUACGCUUGGGGCGCCUGGGUGGCUCAGUCAGUUGAGCAGCAGACUCUUAUUUGAGGCUCAGGUCAUGAUCUCAGGGUCGUGAGACCGAGCGGCACAUGAGGCUCUGUGCUUCGUGCAGAGUCUGCUUAGGACUCUCUCUCCCUCUUCCCCUGACCAUCCCCUCACUCCCUCUCUCUCUCUCUCAAAAAGAAAUGUUAUGAUUACAUGAUAUUGUAGUCUAUUAUUAAGCGUGCAAUAACAUGUCUAAAAAGACAAUGUACACACCUUAAUUUUAAAAAUACUUUUUUGCUAACAAAUGCUAACCAUCGUCUGAGCUUUCAGUGAGUCCUAAUCUUUCUGCUUCUGGAUGGUCUUGCCUCCGUGUUGGUGGCUGCUGUCUGGUCAGGGUGGUGGGUGCUGAAGACCAGGGGGCUGCGGCAACUUCUUAAAAUAACAGUGAGGUUGGCCACAUCGGUUGACUCUUCCUGUCACAACGUCUCUGUGGCAGGUGAUGCUGUGUGAUAGCGUUUUGCCCACAGGAGAACUGCUUUCAGAAUCAGAGUCGAUGCUCUCAAACCCUGCUGCGGCCCGAUCAGUGCAUGUGAU